CGCAAGUGGCUACAAAUUGAUGACAUACUAACAAGAAUAAUAGCGCAUAAUAUAUAUAAACCGGCUUCUAACAAAGGUUGUGGGCCACAAGUACUUGUAGUGGUCAUUUGAAGUUUUGUUGCACCAGAUUGGCGGGUUUCUUAGUUAUAUGCUGCUUUUGGGAUCUCAGUAGCUCAUCGUUUAGCCUCGAUGAUUUUGAAUCCUCAAAGCUAUACGGAUAUGGAGUUCGCUGCAUGCUUCGCAUGAAAUUGCUAAUGAAAUCUGUGUGUUGACGCACAACCGGAAAUCUGCGUCUGUUGAUGCCCCCCUUGCAGGAUGUCAGUUGUAUGAAGCUACCACUUCCACUGCCACUGCCACUGCUACAUGUUGUUGUCGUGCUGUCCGUGCUUCUGCCAUCCAUUGAGGAUUCAGAGCACGCCUUGGCCACUAGACGACGAUCCAAGAAGUUUGCUUGAAUAACUAGAAAUUUAUCCCAUAGCUUUUCUUUUGAAAAAAGUCCUGAUAGCAGAUGAGCGAGAAUGCAAUUAUAGAUUUACUUUUACUAUUACUAUAAAUGAGUGUUAUAAACUUACGUUAGAGGAUCUAGA